GAUGAACGCUAGCUACAGGCUUAACACAUGCAAGUCGAGGGACCGGCGCACGGGUGAGUAACACGUAUCCAACCUGCCCUUUACUCGGGGAUAGCCUUUCGAAAGAAAGUUUAAUACCCGAUAUAAAGGAUGGGGAUGCGUUCCAUUAGGUUGUUGGUGAGGUAACGGCCCACCAAGCCUUCGAUGGAUAGGGGUACUGAGGGGAAGGUCCCCCACAUUGGAAGGGAGACACGGUCCAAACUAAUACGGGAGGCAGCAGUGAGGAAGAUUGGUCAAUGGGCGUUAGCCUGAACCAGCCAAGUAGCGUGAAGGAUGGAGGAUUAUGGGUCGUAAACGUCUUUUAUAUAAGAAUAUGUAUUAGAUGAAUAAGGAUCGGCUAACUCCGUGCCAGCAGCCGCGGUAAUUC
rnacentral:rRNA from 1 species